GAGGGCCAGCAAGCUGCAGUGGGCUGGAGUGAGCUCCUAGCUUCGGCUGGCUGGGCGGAGAUGAUUUCACACCACAAAAAUGUCUGAAUCAGGAGAAUAACCUAACUUGGGAUGGCGUUGGGAAGUGAGCCGUUCAGUAGGGGGUGGGGGAGCUGGAGCGCUCAGCGCUGGGCCAGAUAGGGUGGUUGGCUAUGAUUUGUUCUGACCCUUGUAUCUCCCUCAUUGUUCUGGGAUCUUAGGAAAGAAACAAUCCUCCCAAGCUGCAAGUGAAAGGGCAGAAUGCAGCCUCUAGAGAGUUAGCAAGACAGACUUAGGGUUGCAACCCUGAAGAAUCAUGAAGUCUCUGCCAGCAAACUCAAGGAUCUGAGUGAGGAAUUCAAGGGAGUAAGAGAAGCAGGAGAUAGAGGAGGAAAACACUGAAUUCCUUGUUUACAAUUAAUAUAGCAAAACAACAGCUACCUCUGAGGGCUUCUCAGGAGGAUCUGGACCCUAUCAUCUCGGUUCUCAUCGCCUGCUAUCUGAAAACUAUGACUUAACCCAAUAGCUUCAUUUUACAAAUGAGCAAACUGGCUGGGCAUAGUGACUCACACCUGUAAUCCAAGCACUUUGGGAGGCCAGGACAGGUGGAUCGCAGGUGGAUCACUUGAGGUCAGGAGUUCGAGACCAGUCUGGCCAACAUCUUGAAAUUCUGUCUCUACUAUAAGUACAAAAUUUAGCCAGCUGGGCAUGGUGGCAGGUGCCUGAAAUCCCAGCUACCUGGGAAGCUGAGACAGGAGAAUCGCUUGAACCUGGGAGGCAGAUGUUGGAGUGAGUCGAGAUCACACCAUUGCACUCCAGCCUGGGUAACAGAAUGAGACUCCAUCUCAAGAAGACAAAAACAAAAACAAACAAAUAAAAAAUGAGCAAAGUAAGGUCCAGAGCAGGAAAAUGAUUUGCCCACAAAAUUUAAUGAUUGGGUGAGGAACCCAGGUCUCGCGAAUCCUUGUCCAGUGCUUAUUUUACUUUAUUUAUUUAGUUUUGAGACAGGGUCUCACUUUGUCACCCAGACCGGAGUACAGUGGCAUGAUCUCAGCUCACUGCAACCUCUAUCUCCCGGUUUCAAGUGAUUCUCAUGCCUCAGCCUCCCAAGUAGCUGGGAUUACAGGCAUGCACCACGACACCCGGCUGAUUUUGUAUUUUUAGUAGAGAUGGGGUUUUACCAUGUUGGCCAGGCUGGUAUUGAACUCCUGACCUCAGGUGAUCCCUCUGCCUUGGUUGGGAUUACAGGCAUAAGCUACCACACCUGGCCUUUUUUCUUCUUCUUCUUUCAAAUAGGGUUUCAUUUGUUGCCCAGGCUGGAGUGCAGUGGCAGGAUCACAGCUCACUGCAGCCUUGACCUCCAUGGGCUCAGAUGAUCCUGCCACCUCAUCCUCCCGACUAGCUGUGAUCUCAGGUGCAUGCUACCACACCCAGCUAAUUUUUGCUUUUUUUUGUAGAGCCAGGUCUCCCUAUGUUACCCAGGCAGGUCUUGAACUCCUGGGCUCAAGUGAUUUGCCUGGCUUGGCCUCCCAAAGUGCUGGGAUUGCAGGUGUAAACCACAGCAGCAGGCCUCUGGUUUUUCCUUUCAGGGAGACGCCAGGCUAAUAGAUGGAGCCCCUUGCUCCUGUUUCUGGGUGGACAUAGGAACUAUCAGCUGGCUGCCUGCUCAGAGUGACCAGACUGCAAGCUUCCAGCAAGCAGGUUCGAGUCUUCCGUGGUUCCUGCUUGGAUCUUGGAACCCUUCCCCUCCCACAGUGCCCUGGAGAGCUUGUGAUGCUCUGGGUCUUUGGAUAGAUCAACCCCUCUCUCCAGGUCUCAUUUUUCUUCACCUGGAGAGCCAGUGGGCUGAAAAUAAAUCAGUGCAUUUCAAGCUUUUUUUUCUUUUUAAAUUACUGAAACCACUUUUGGAAAUCAAAUCUUUUUUUUUGAGACGGAGUUUCGCUCUUGUUACCCAGGCUGGAGUGCAAUGGUGUGAUCUCGGCUCACUGCAACGUCUGCCUCCUGGGUUCAGGCAAUUCUCCUGCCUCAGCCUCCUGAGUAGCUGGGAUUACAGGCGCACACCACCGUGCCCAGCUAAUUUUUUGUAUUUCUAGUAGAGACGGGGUUUCACCAAGUUGACCAGGAUGGUCUCGAUCUCUUGACCUCGUGAUCCACUUGCCUCAGCCUCCCAAAGUGCUGGGGUUAUAGGCGUGAGCCACCGUGCCUGGCGGAAAUCAAAUCUUACAAGACUAUACUUUCAGGGAUUAUUUCUAUAGUUCAUAACUGGAGAAGUUUCUCUGAAACAUAAAUUAAAAUUUCAUAUAAAAUUAAAAAAUAAAAACAAAGUACAAAUACAAAGAAAAAAGAAAUAAAAUUUUAGACAAAAGCCCGAUACUUCGAACAGACAAAAACAGUUCUGCUCUGGUUGAAGCAGCAAUGGACGAGGGCUGUGGAGAUCCGCCUCCUUGGCCUUCCCUAUGUCCCUUGACUACUGCAUGGAACUCCCAGAGCUCCACAGAAUGCAGUCAGAAACUGACAUGGGAAAUCUCAAAAAAUCAUGACAAGAAGCUCCCAUGAGGAAAGGUACAGGAGCCAGGAGUGGGGAGAGAUGACAUGAAGCUGCGGUGCUGGAUCAGCCUCAGAUGACAGUGAGGCCUGCCUUAUCUCAGGGGAAGGGAUGGGGCUGAGCUGCUUAGUCCAGAUCACCCUUCCUUGUCAGCUAUCUGCCCCAGCCCAGAGACCUGAGAGGACAGACCCUACAGGCUGCUUCUCAGGUUGGCUGAGUCAUGCAGCAUAGGCUGCCACGUCUCUGGGCUGGCGGGGCUGGUGGGGCUGUCGUUAUUCCUGGCUUCACAGCAGCUAAACUGAAGAGAGGUUUGGUUUGUGGGCCACGUCAGGGAACGUGUAAGAGCUGCCACGUUGUCAGGGUUGGGUUAUUGGGCUUUUUCACUCCUUCAGAGAAGAUUUCCAGGCAUGUGGGGUUUCAGAAGAAAAUUGAUGCCUGCAUGUGAGUGUUCCCUGGACCUGGACCAGCAACAGCAAUAUUAUAGACCUGGGGAUUGGGGCAGACUGAGCCAAUCUGCUGCCGAGCUAACCCUCCCCAGAGCAGCAGGGAGCCCUGCAGCCUCAAAGUCAUGGAUACAGAGCCCUGGAAAAAGGCUGAAGGGCUAGAAAACCAAUAAUGCAAAUCUUUAACCUUUUGAGAGUGCUCAUCCACAUCAACAGCAGAAGGUGUUUUCUCAGUGUGUUUUAAUAAAAAGACCAAUAGGUCAGCUGGCAUGAUGGCUCGUGCCUGUAAUCCCGGCACAGUGGGAGGCCGAGGUGGGUGAAUCAACUGAGGUCAGGAGUUCGAGAUUAGCCUGACCAAUAUGGCGAAACCUGUCUUUACUAAAAACACAAAAAUUAGCCAGGCACUCACUACAGGUGGCAUGCACCUCUAGUCCCAGCUACUUGGGAGGCUGAGACAGGAGGAUUGCUUGAACCUGGGAGGCGGAGGUUGCAGUAAGCCGAGAUGGCACCACUGCACUCCAGCCCAGGUGAGAGAGGGAGACUCCGUCUUUAAAAAAAAAUGAAAAUUAAAAAGAAGCAAUAGGUCAAAGAGUUAGUUAGCUUGGGUCAAGCCCCAGCUCUGCUAUUUAUUGGCUGGGAGACCCAGGCCAGUUCACUUUACCUUUCUGAACCUCAGUUUCUUCUUCAAACGAGGGUGUUGGAGCAAAUAAAAACAUUUCCCAAAGAGUUUGUUAGAAAACAAAGUUCUGUGGAAUGCAUUAAGAAAUUCAUGAAAACAAAGACUCUGAUAGCUUUAAUAGAGUUCAACAGGUCUUCCUGCUGACAUUUUCAGAGCUUUAAGAUUUCAAUGCGUCUCAGGAAUAUCCAGGAGGAAGGUAGUGAGUGCUGCAUUUCACAAACGCACUUGAAUCCACGGUCCCGCUAUCUUUCUGGAAUGUGUUACAGGACUAAUAUUUUGUGAAACAGACUUUGGAAAGUGUUGAGUUAGAUAAUCUACUUAUAAGAUAGCUGACAUUUAUGAAGUGCUUCAGACAUGCAAUAGUGAACCAAAUGCAUUACAGAUAUGAUCUCAUUUAAUCCUCACAAACCCUCACGAGAACUUUACACUGGAGGAGGCUGAGGGUAGAGGUUAAUAACAUGCCUCAAGUCUUCUAGAGUUAAAUAACUUUGGCCCAGGACCCUAACCCAGAAAUCUGACUCAAAAAAUAGGACUCCUAAGCAUCCUCUUACAUUUACUGACUUCUUAAAAUCUAUGUUCACUUGAAUCUUACACUGACUUUGUACCCAGGAGGGUGAAAUAUUUUAAUCAUGCCUAUUUUACAGAUAAGAACACUGAGGUUUGGAAAGGAAAAGUGAGCUGCUUAAGGUCAGAAUAUAAGCAGGGCCUCAGGGCACAGGUCCUACUAAGGGAAGAACCCAAAUCAGAACUUAAAUGAGUGCUUCUUUCUUCUUAGGUGAUGCUAGGGUUUGAGCAUGUACCCCUAAAUGCAUGUGUUGAAAACUGAAUCCUCAAUGCAACAGUGUCGGGAGAUGGGGCCUGUUGGGAGAUGUUUAGAUCCUGAGGGCUCUGCCCUAACGUGCUGAUUAACAUCAAUUAGGGUUUGAGGCUCCGGGUUCUAUCUCCUGCUCUCUUUCUAGCCCUCUCUUUGCCUUUCCACCUUGACAUGAUACAGCAUGAAGACCUUUGCCAGAUGCUAGCCCCUCAGGCUUGGACUUCCCAGCUCCAGAAUCAUGAGCCAAUAAAUUUAUGUUUAUUAUAAAUCAUCCAGUUCCAGGUAUUCUGUUAUAACAACACAAAACAGACUAAGACCAGUAGGUUUGUGUCAACAUGAAAAGGUACAGCCAACACAUUGUUAACAUUUGUCACCUCAGUGGACAAAUGCCUUAAUCCUCAGAAUCUAUAAAUAGGUUAUCUUACAUGGCAAAGGGGGCUUUGCAGAUUAAUUUAAGGAUUUCAAGGUGGGAAGAUUAUCUUAGGUUAUUUGGGUGGGCCCAGUGUAAUCACAAGGGAGCCUCUGUGAGAAUGAGUGCCCUGGCAAACACUCACUGGGACCCUUGUGGGGGGCAGUGGGUGCAGGGGAAAGAGUCUUGACUGAGUGUUAAGUGUUUGAGAGCUUUCAUUUCAGCUCCCCCAUAGGCCAACUGUGUGACCUUGGGUAAAUCUCUCUGUCUUCCCAAUCCCAAAAUGGGUUUAGUGAAUCCUGACUUUUCUACUUUGUAGACUAAAUGUGCCACUCCAUAAGAUUAGGGUGAUAAAAGUCCUCUGUGGGCUGGGCACGGUGGCUCACGCCUGUAACCCCAGCACUUUGGGAGGCCUAGAUUACUAGGUCAGGAGUUCAAGACCUGCCUGGCGAACAUGGUGAAACCCUGUCUCUACUAAAAAAUACAAAAAAUUAGCUGGGCAAGGUGGCACACGCCUAUAAUCCUUAGCUACCCAGGAGCCUGAGGCAGGAGAAUUGCUUGAAUGCAGGAGGCAGAGGAUGCAGUGAGCUGAGAUCACACCCUUGCACUCCAGCCUGAGUGAGACUCCAUCUCAAAGAAAGAAAAAAGUCCUUUGUGAGCUGCAAAGAGCUAAAGGAGAAACCUUCAACUGCUCAGUGAGUGUGUUGCAAGUGGUGAGUGCUGAGGUUAAAUUUCAUCUUCCUCUGUUUGGCCUUGGCCUGGUUGGUGGAUGCUCUGCUUCAGGCACCCAGGGCCAGAUGACAAUGGGUUCUUUGUGCCCAUUGUCAGACAAUGGGAAGGCCUGCCUGGGGAAAGAUACAGUAGCAAGGCAACAGGCUGAGUCAGCCUCCAAUGUGCUUGAACCUUCUUAGCUUGGCAGCCUUGACGGUCAGCCAGCCUCACAAAGGGUACAUUUGAGAGUUCUGAUACAUAAUCCUCAUCUCAAAGGGGUCAGCCUGCCCAGUCUCUGCCUCCAGAGAUUUGGAUCAGGCCAGAGCUGGCUUCAGCCUGGGAGACAAAGGCCCCAGGCCUAGCUGUCCACACUGUAACCUUGGGCUCUUUGAACCUUAAUUUUCCCAGCCACACAGAAAAUAUGGGAAUGGAUAGGACCAAAGGGCCCUAUCAGCUCUAAGCUUUGAAAGAAUAGGAGAGAUCCAAUCUGAACUUGAAUAAUUGGGUUUGGAUUUGGGGCCAGUGGGGGAAGGGAGGCAGCCCUGGCCAGCAGGCAGAAUAGGCAGUGGCGUGCAUGGGGAAGCCAUGGAGAGAGGGGUCUGGAGUGGAACUACUUGUGUGCAUUCCUGACUUCUCCACUGUGGGAUCUCAACCAAGUGAUUUAGUUCUCUGAACUUUUCUUUACUCAUCUUUAAAAUGGGAAUGGUAAUUGUACCCACCUAUGAUAGGCAAAAUAGUGGCCCCUCCAAAGACAGACAUGCCUUAAUCCUCAGAGCCUAUAAAUAGGUUAUCUUACAUGGCAAAGGGGGCUUUGCAGAUUAAUUUAAGGAUUUCAAGGUGGGAAGAUUAUCUUAGGUUAUUUGGGUGGGCCCAGUGUAAUCACAAGGGUUCUCAAAAGAUGAAGACCAAAGGGUCUAAGUCAGGAGAUGUCAAGGCAGAAGCAGAGUUGGAGUGAUGUGCUUAGAAGACACAGUGAGGGUUCACAAGCCAAGGAAUGCAGGUGCCCUCUAGAAGCUGAAAACAGGUAAGAAAACAGAUUCUUCCCUCAAGCCUCUAGAAGGAAGGCAGCCCAAUGACACCUUGAUUUUAGGACUUCUGACUUUCAGAACUAUAAGAUAAUAUGUGUUUUUAAGUCACCAAGUUUGUGGUAAUUUACUAUAGCAAUGAUAGAAAACAAAUAUUCUGCCUAAGUGUUGUGUUAAAUGAGAUAAUGGACAUAAAGUGUUUUGCCCUAUGUCUGCUCUGUAUUAUAGAUGUGUGUGUGUGUGUGUGUGUGUGUACUUUAUUUUUCUGAGACAGAGUCUCUCUCUGUUGCCCAGGCUGGAGUGCGGUGGUGGGAUCUCGGCUCACUACAACCUCUGCCUCCCGGGUUUAAGUGAUUCUCCUGACUCAUCCUCCCGAGUAGCUGGGAUUAGAGGCAUGCUACACAAUGCCCGGCUAAUUUUGUAUUUUUAGUAGAGACGGGGUUUCUCCAUGUUGGUCAGGCUGGUCUUGAACUCCUGACCUCAGGUGAUCUGCCUGCCUCAGCCUCCCAAAGUUCUGGGAUUAUAGGUGUGAGCCACUGCGCCCAGCCUGCUUUGUAAUAUUGAAUAUGGUUGUCUCUCUUCUCAGUUUAGUAACAAUUGCUCCAAUGAAACCUGGCUCCCCAUGGGCCCUCAAGUUCUCAUAUGUAAGUUUUGUUGAGUUUUUUUAAUCUGAAAGGCCCACUCAGGAGUUCUGACCUGGAGAUCUGAACUGCUGAGAUUCUGACGCUGUUUUUAAUGCAUGGCCUUAGGAGAUGUUUCUUGGCCCUUCUUUUAUUUAUUUAAUUUUAUGCUUGGUUGCUUUCCUCCUUCCCAGAAGCCAAAUCCACAGAGCCUUUCUGAUCUAUUUCCAGGGUUCAGACCUCUUGCUCCCUGUCCAGGUAUUCCUGUCCCUGUGUAGGAACAGUUUACCCGGCCCCAGUCCAGCUCCCAGAGAUGGUUCAUCAGGUGGUCCAGAAGCUGGUCUCAGAGCUAGUGACAGAAUCUCUGGAGUCACUGAACAGAAAGACAAACAGGACUGCUGUGGCAUUCACUGAGAUAGUGAACAAGAAAGUAUGUUGGAAUGGCUAAAAGGGUGUAAAAAGGAUAGGAGGGAACAAGAGGAAGAUGGAGGAGAAAAGGACAAGGAAGAGCAGGAGGAGAAGGGAAAUUUCCCCCAUAGAACUGAUCUCAACCUGAAAUGGGCUCACAGCCUGCCUCCACCUAUCGGAAUGUAAAGUGCACGAGGGCAGAGCCUUGUCUGUCCUAUUUAUUGCUAUAUCCCUACUGCCUGAUGCAACGCACAAUAAAGAUUGAAUGAUCAGGCCAGGCGCGGUGGCUCAUGCCUGUAAUCCCAGCACUUUGGGAGGCCGAGGUGGGCGGAUCACGAGGUCAAGAGAUCGAGAUCAUCCUGGCCAACAUGGUGAAACCCUGUCUCUACUAAAAACGCAAAAAUUAGCCGGGCGUGGUGGCACACACCUGUGGCCCCGGCUACUCCGGAGGCUGAGGCGGAAGAAUCCCCUGAACCCAGGAGGCGGAGGUUGCAGUGAGCCGAGAUUGCGCCACUGCACUCCAGCCUGGGAUAGAGCAAGACUCUGUCUCAAAAAAAAAAAAAGAUUGAAUGCUCAAAUGAGGUAGCUGAUGUAUUGGGGUGUAGGGAUCCUGGAUGGCAGGCAUAUGUAGACAUUCCCCAGGUAGUCCCUUGAGUUCUAAGGCUGUGGCUGGGGUGCUAGGUCUGGAGGACAGGAUCAGGGUAAAGUGGGAAUUGCCUAGAAGAGCACAGCUGGAGAGAGGCUGGACAGGGCAGUGGGCAGGCAGCAGGGACCCCAAUAUACUGACUCUGCUUUACAAGAUGAAAAGCUGAUUCAGCCUAAUAUUGGAUCAGCAACAUACUUGACUCAGGAGAGGGCCGUGUGGUCUGAAGUCUAGGUAUAUCAGAGCUGAGGAGGAACUGAGGGGGAAGUAGCGUGCAGUAGUCAAGCACUUGGGCUCUGGUGACCAUUUAACCUGAUAUGAAUCUCCAAUUUACCAUAAGCUUAUGCAUCCUUGGUGUGUAAUCUUGGGCAAAUUGUUACUAUGAACUUCAUUUUCCACAUUUAUAAAAUGGGAAUAAUAAUAGUUCCAGAUUUAUAAGGGUUAAAUCAGACAAUAUAUGCAAAGAGCUUAGCUGGUGCUUGGCACAUAGUAGGUGUUUAAUAAAUGCUGGUUCUUAUUAUUACUAUUCUGCUGUCCAACCUAUUUUAUAAAUGAAAGGUGUAGAGUCAGGCAUGGUAGCUCGUGCUUGUAAUCCUAGCAUAUUGGGAGGCCAAGGCAGGAUUGCUUGAGAACAGGAGUUCAAGGCCAGCCUGGGCAACCUAAGAAGACCUUGUCUCUAUUAACACAAUUAAAGAGAAAUAAAGAAAAGGUGUAGCUCAGAGAGGGGCAGGAAUGAGCCCAAAGUCACUCAGUGACUCAAUAACAGAGAGGGGACUCACACCCAGUUCUAUCACACCUGGCUGGGUUGUACUUCUCUCCCUUCCUAUAAAGCCCUUGGCUGGUAACAGGAGGACCAGCUUAGUCCUAGUGGUCUUCCUUUCUAGGUCAGAGUCAUCCUUGCUUCAGAGGCUCCUGCUGCUCCAGUAUGCUGCUUUCUUUUUUUUUCUUUUUGAGACAGAGUUUCAUUCUUGUUGCCCAGGCUGGAGUGCAAUGGUGUGAUCUUGGCUCACUGUAACCUUUGCCUCCUGGGUUCAUGCAAUUCUCCUGUCUCAGCCUCCCAAGUAGGAGGGAUUACAGGCAUGAGCCCCCAUGCCUGGCUAAUUUUGUAUUUUUAGUAGAGACAGGGUUUCACUAUGUUGGUCAGGCUGGUCUCGAACUCCUGACCUCAGGUGAUCCACCUGCAUCGGCCUCCCAAAGUGCUGGGAUUACAGGCAUGAGCCACUGCGCCCAGCUGUAUGCUCCUAUCCCUAGAUAUCAAAUGUACCAAGUCUUCCUUCUGGGAGUGAUCCUGGCUCAGGGUGUCCCCUCAGAGGACACCCUCCUGGGAGUGGCCCUCAGGAGGGCUUCAGCCCAGCCCCAACCAGAUUUCCAAUACCUGAACCAAAAGCCACAUGGGAACCCCAGCCAAAAACUGGGAAGAGUUCUGCUGGAUCAUCCUCAUCGAAAUAGCCAUCAUAGUUUAUGAAUAAAAACAUGAAGCUUUGGCUAAUUUUAGUCCCCAUGAUGCCUGGGAGCUAUAGUAACCAAUCCUAUAAAAAUAUACAUCUGCCCAGAUGGCAAAACAGGUAUCUGGAGAGUCCACCAGCACUCUGUAUCCAGCAGCCAAAAGCUCUUGGCUUUUGAACCAGGGCAAGAGGCCUUGGGGAUCAUUAUUAUUAUUAUGAUUAUUAUUUUGUUAUUAUUAGAGACAGUAUCUUGCUCUGUCACGCAGGCUAGUCUCAGGCAGCAAUCAUCCUGCCUCAGCCUCGAAGUAGCUGGGACUCCAGGAACAUACCACUGUGCCUGGCUCUUGGAGGUCAUCUGGAGCAGAUUCCUUCUUGGAUGUUUGUGGAUUUUUCUGCAGAGAAAGUUCAUGGCUUCCUUAAGGUUCUCAAAAGGAACAAACACUCAAACUUUUAUAUUUCAUUUAGUGGUCUGAGGGUCUCUUGGAUGUGGGGCACUGUUCAAGGCUAGAACUCUAGUAAAAGAUAACCCCUCUUUUUUCAGAUGGGCAAGUGGAAGUUCAUUCAUUUAUUGAAUGAAACACUGUGAGCCAGCUUUGUGCGGGACACUGCUCAACAUGCUUGGCACAAAGCAGUGAACAAGACACGUGAAGUCCUUGCUCUCACUGAGCUUCUGUCUGGUGGGGGGAACAAAUGGUUUCUGAGAAUGACAGGUGAUGAGGAGGAAAUAAAACAGUGUAAGGUGUUGAACUGUGCCUGUGAGAGAGGCAAGUAGACUGUCUGAGUAACCAGGGAGGGCCUCUCUGAGGAGGUGACAUUAGAAUAGGCACAGGAAAAUCAGGUAGAAGAGUGUCUCCAGCAGAGGUAAAAGCAAGUGCAAAGAUCCUGGGGUGUGACCGGGCGUGGAGGCUCAUGUCUGUAAUCCCAACACUUUGGCAGGCCAAGGCGGGUGGAUCACUUGCGGUCAGGAGUUCAAGACCAGUCUGGCCAACAUGGUGAAACCCUGUCUCUACUAAAAAUAAAAAAUUAUCCUGGUGUGGUGGUGCAUGCCCGUAAUCCCAGCUACUCGAGAGGCUGAGGCUGGAGAAUCACUUGAACCCAGAAGGUGGAGGUUGCAGUGAGCUGAGAUGGUGCCACUGCACUCUGGCCUGGGCCACACAGUGAGACUGUCUCAAAAACAACAAACAAACAAACAAACAAACAAAAAGAUGCUGGAGUGGGAGAAGCUCUGGGGUAGCUGAGGGACUGGCAGGAAGUUGGUGUAGCUGGAGCAGCUUGGGCACAGAGGACAGUGGUAAGAGGAGAGAAUAGCAAGGGAGACAGGGCCCACAGUGGAUGGAAGUGUAUCAUGAGUAUUCUCUGCCUUCUCCUGUUCCCUGGUAUUUAAACCCAAGCCAUGCUUCAAGAUCCACCUCUUUCAAUCUGAAGCCCUGGGAUAAGCCGAAGAGUCUGUGCCAGUCAUGUAAGUGGGUGUAUGUGUAAGGCACAACCUUUCAGCAAGAUCCAAAGCUCCUUGAGUAGUGAGUUAUCUAGAUUGAUUGAUUGUUCACGGUCAUUACAGAUUGAAUUCUUUGUUCUACCCUUUCCCCCUUCUCAGUU